AUGAUAUAUUAUUUAAUCAUGGAAAUGCCAUGUCAGGUGCACCUAUCAGAAUCAGAACAAACCAAUUAAUAAAUCCAUAUGUCAUCAUGGUCUAUAGGCCGACCGUACUGUUGGGGAACGUAG
rnacentral:rRNA from 1 species